rnacentral:rRNA from 1 species
AACGAACGCUGGCGGCGUGGAUUANGCAUGCAAGUCGAACGAGAAUCUGAGAGUCCAAGUUUUCGGACAAGGACUUUUGGAGGAAAGUGGCGGAAGGGUGAGUACAACAUGGAUAAUCUACCUUCAAGUUGGGUAUAGCUUUCCGAAAGGAGAGAUAAUCCCGGAUGUGGUGAUCCGGCGCAUGCCGGAGACUCCAAAGGUGGGGACCGCAAGGCCUGCCGCUUGAAGAUGAGUCCGUGCACUAUCAGCUAGUUGGUGAGGUAAUGGCUCACCAAGGCUAUGACGGUUAGCUGGUCUGAGAGGAUGGUCAGCCACACUGGGACUGAGAUACUGCCCAGACUCCUACGGGAGGCUGCAGUCGAGAAUCAUUCGCAAUGGGCGAAAGCCUGACGGUGCGACGUCGCGUGGAGGAUGACGGUCUUCGGAUUGUAAACUCCUGUCAUGUGGGAUAAAUAGCCCGGGUGUGAAUAGCACUUGGGACUGAUAGUACCACAGGAGGAAGAGACGGCUAACUCUGUGCCACAGCCGCGGUAAUUCAGAGGUCUCGAGCGNUGUUCGGAUUUACUGGGCGUAAAGGGAGCGUA